AAGAAACUGUCUUUAUCAAAAUGAGGAAUGUAAAGAAGCAGCUCUUGAAGCUCACCUUGUCCCUGUCUUGCACUCUCUCUGGCCUUGGAUUUUGAUGGAUGAUUCAUUGAUGCAAAUUUCUCUGCAGCUCCUUUGUGUCUAUACUGCAAAUUUUCCAAAUGGUUGCAGUUCUCUUUGUUGGUCAAGUUGUGGACAACACCCUGUUCAAGCUACACAUAGAGGAGCCGUGAGCAACUCUCUGAUGCUGUGUAUCCUAAAGUUGGCUUCCCAGAUGCCACUGGAGAACACCACGGUUCAGCAGAUGGUUUUUAUGCUUCUUUCAAACCUGGCCUUGUCGCAUGACUGUAAAGGAGUAAUUCAGAAGGCCAAGAUAAAUUGCAAAAGUUGAGAGCAUUUAUAAGAAUUGAGUCUCCUUUUCCUCUACUGUUUCUUCUCCCUGAACUCCUCAGAAGAUACUUUGUUAUCACCACAUAAAUAGAAAGUUCGGUCUUUCUAAGGAAAUGGAAAGAUCAAUCUUACCAAGGAAAGAUGUUUUCAGUGGCACGUUGGAGCCAGCCUCCUACUGACUCAUGAGUGUCAUCUUAAAUUUGCAGAAAUUUUAUAAAAAUUCCAGUUGAUGUUACAUUGUUAUUUUGAAAUCAGCCACAGUGGGCAUAUCACACCACGUAAUUCAGCGAACUGUACAAAUCUUGGAUCUUUUCUACCCUCACCACAAUCAGUUGUUUAUUUACCAGCACAUGGCUGGAUAUUUUCUUCAUGUAUAUGUUCAUGUAUGUCAUAUAU
rnacentral:sRNA from 1 species